GUGGAUAGCCGAGCGGUCCAAGGCGCUGCGUUCGGGUCGUAGUCCACACUGUGGACGUGGGUUCGAAUCCCACUCCUGACA
rnacentral:tRNA from 1 species